CUACGGGUUGCAGCAGUGAGGAAUAUUGCACAAUGGGGGGAACCCUGAUGCAGCAACGCCGCGUGGAGGAUGACGCAUUUCGGAGUGUAAACUCCUUUUAUAUGUCAAGAAAAUGACGGUAGCAUAUGAAUAAGCACCGGCUAACUCCGUGCCAGCAGCCGCGGUAAUACGGAGGGUGCAAGCGUUACUCGGAAUCACUGGGCGUAAAGGACGCGUAGGCGGGUUGGAAAGUCAGGUGUGAAAUCCUACAGCUUAACUGUAGAACUGCACUUGAAACUUCUAAUCUAGAGUAUGGGAGGGGGAGAUGGAAUUACUGGUGUAGGGGUAAAAUCCGUAGAUAUCACUAGGAAUACCUAAAGCGAAGGCGAUCUCCUGGAACAUUACUGACGCUAAGGCGUGAAAGCGUGGGGAGCAAACAGGAUUAGAUACCCCCGUAGUC
rnacentral:rRNA from 1 species